GAUGAACGCUGGCGGCGUGCUUAACACAUGCAAGUCGAACGAAGCAUUUGCGACAGUUUUUUUCGGAAUGAAGUUGCUUAUGACUGAGUGGCGGACGGGUGAGUAACGCGUGGGUAACCUGCCUUGUACUGGGGGAUAGCAGCUGGGGACGGCUGGUAAUACCGCAUAAUCGCACAAUGUUGGAUGACAUGGUGGGGAAAGCUCCGGUGGUAUAAGAUGGAGCCGGGUCUGAUUAGCCAGUUGGUGAGGUAACAGCCAACCAAGGCGACGAUCAGUAGCCGAGCUGGGAGCGUGACCGGCCACAUUGGGACUGAGACACGGACCAGAAUCCUACGGGAGGCAGGAGUAGAGAAUAUUGCACAAUGGAGGAAAAUCUGAUGCAGCGACGCCGGGGGAGUGAGGCAGCGAUUCGUAAUGUAAAGCUCUCUGAGAAGGGAAGUUAGUGACGGUACCUGGCAAAGAAGCACCGGCUAACUACGUG
rnacentral:rRNA from 1 species